rnacentral:rRNA from 1 species
GACGAACGCUGGCGGCGCGCUUAACACAUGCAAGUCGAACGGAAAGGCCUGCUUUCCCUUGUGGAUUGCGGGUACUCGAGUGGCGAACGGGUGAGUAACACGUGAGUGAUCUGCCCCCAACUUGGGUAUAAGCCUGGGAAACUGGGUCUAAUUCCCGAUAGGACUGCAGGGUGGUGCCUGUGGUGGAAAACGAUUUUCUAGUGGUUGGGGAUGAGCUCGCGGCCUAUCAUCUUGUUGGUGGGGUAAUGGCCUACCAAGGCGGCGACGGGUAGCCGGCCUGAGAGGGUGGACGGCCACAUUGGGACUGAGAUACGGCCCAGACUCCUACGGGAGGCAGCAGUGGGGAAUAUUGCACAAUGGGCGGAAGCCUGAUGCAGCGACGCCGCGUGGGGGAUGACGGCCUUCGGGUUGUAAACUCCUUUCGACCGCGAGGAAGCCACCUGGUUGGAAGGGUGGUGACGGUAGUGGUAGAAGAAGCACCGGCUAACUACGUG